rnacentral:rRNA from 1 species
CCUACGGGAGGCAGCCGUGAGGAAUAUUGGUCGAUGGGCGCGUGCCUGAACCAGCCAAGUCGCGUGAGGGAUGACGGUCCUACGGAUUGUAAACCUCUUUUGCCGGGGAGCAAGCGUGCGUUCGUGAACGCGCGUCGAGAGUACCCGGAGAAAAAGCAUCGGCGAACUCCGUGCCAGCAGCCGCGGUAAUACGGAGGAUGCGAGAGUUAUUCGGAUUUAUUUGGUUUAACGGUUGCGUGGGCGGGAUGGAAAGUCAGCGGUAAAAAUGCGGUGCUCAACGCCGUCGAGCCGUUGAAACUGGCGUUCUUGAGUGGGCGAGAAGUAUGCGGAAUGCGUGGUGUAGCGGUGAAAUGCAUAGAUAUCACGCAGAACUCCGAUUGCGAAGGCAGCAUACCGGCGCCCUACUGACGCUGAGGCACGAAAGCGUGGGUAUCGAACAGGAUUAGAUACCCGUGUAGUC